GGGGAAAUCGGGAGCUACCAUGCAGCCGAGCGGUAUUGUUUCUUCGGAAAUGAGAGAGCGGCGUACGGGUGCGGAACACGUGUGCAACCUGCCUUUAUCAGGGGGAUAGCCUUUCGAAAGGAAGAUUAAUACCCCAUAAUAUUUAGAAUGGCAUCAUUUUAAAUUGAAAACUCCGGUGGAUAGAGAUGGGCACGCGCAAGAUUAGAUAGUUGGUGAGGUAACGGGCUUCCACCAAGUCUUGCGAUUCUUUAGGGGGGCCCUGAAGAGGGGUGAUCCCCCCACACUGGGUACUGAGACACCGGGACCAGACUUCCUACGGGGAGGCAGCCAGUGAGGGAAUAUUGGACCAAUGGGUUGCGAGCCCUGAUCCCAGCCAUCCCGGCGUGAAGGAUGACGGCCCCUAUGGGUUGUAAACUUCUUUUGUAUAGGGAUAAACCUAGAUACGUGUAUCUAGCUGAAGGUACUAUACGAAUAAGCACCGGCUAACUCCGUGCCAGCAGCCGCGGUAAUACGGAGGGUGCAAGCGUUAUCCGGAUUUAUUGGGUUUAAAGGGUCCGUAGGCGGAUCUGUAAGUCAGUGGUGAAAUCUCACAGCUUAACUGUGAAACUGCCAUUGAUACUGCAGGUCUUGAGUGUUAUUGAAGUAGCUGGAAUAAGUAGUGUAGCGGUGAAAUGCAUAGAUAUUACUUAGAACACCAAUUGCGAAGGCAGGUUACUAAGCAACAACUGACGCUGAUGGACGAAAGCGUGGGGAGCGAACAGGAUUAGAUACCCUGGUAGUCCACGCCGUAAACGAUGCUAACUCGUUUUUGGGGCGCAAGCUUCAGAGACUAAGCGAAAGUGAUAAGUUAGCCACCUGGGGAGUACGAACGCAAGUUUGAAACUCAAAGGAAUUGACGGGGGCCCGCACAAGCGGUGGAUUAUGUGGUUUAAUUCGAUGAUACGCGAGGAACCUUACCAAGGCUUAAAUGGGAAAUGACAGGUUUAGAAAUAGACUUUUCUUCGGACAUUUUUCAAGGUGCUGCAUGGUUGUCGUCAGCUCGUGCCGUGAGGUGUUAGGUUAAGUCCUGCAACGAGCGCAACCCCUGUCACUAGUUGCCAUCAUUAAGUUGGGGGACUCUAGUGGAGACUGCCUACGCCAAGUAAAAAAGGAAAGGUGGGGGAUGAACGUCCAAAUCAUUCACGGGCCCUUAACGCCCUUGGGGCCACACACCGUAAUAACAAUGGGCCCGGGUACAAAAGGGGCAGCUUACACCACGCGAAUGUGGAUGCCAAAAUCUCCCAAAAGCCGGUCUCAGUUCGGAUUGGAGUCUGCAACUCGACUCUAUGAAGCUGGAAUCGCUAGUAAUCGCGCAUCAGCCAUGGCGCGGUGAAUACGUUCCCGGGCCUUGUACACACCGCCCGUCAAGCCAUGGAAGUCUGGGGUACCUGAAGUCGGUGACCGUAACAGGAGCUGCCUAGGUAAAUCAGUAUGGG
rnacentral:rRNA from 1 species